UGACACCCUAAUAGAAUCGACUCUCUUUCAAAACGCAUAAUGGUUCCAAGGCUCACAGGUUUUCCACAACAGUUCAAUCUCAAAGAACGCAAUGCUAGCCUGCAAAAAGGUUAUAUAUUAGUCCAGACCAGUGCCAAGAUUCAAGUCUUGCAAGUUGGAAAUCCUGAGCAAACAGUGAUGUAAUCUUAUUGAAUGCGAUAAUUAAGUGGCUCACCAGUUUUAAGUUCCAAAAAAAAAAAGGGAAGAAGAUGCGAGGGGUGCAAGUGCAACACAAGAACUUUCUACGACGUCACCUAUCCUAGUAUUAUUUUUGCCCAAGCACAUUAAACUGCAGAGUUCUGAUACGGCGUAUUAGUGCCAAAAUUGAGUUUGUGGCAAGAGUUCAGUGGGGAGUGAACAAAUCAGGACCACCAGCUUUGGCCUUCUGCUUGAGAUAUUAUCACAAUGCUUGGGAGAGGGCCCUGUCAGUACAUGGCGCAUUCAGAAGCUGGUAUUGCUGGUAUGGGUUGACGGAAAAGCAAUGCAAACUUUGUUUGACUUGGAGCUUGCAUUGCCUCUUCAAAUGGAUUAGACAAAAAGAAACGAAGUCUCCAUGCUUUCUUGGUUUUGUUACAAAUGAUUAUGAAUUUGGUUCAACUCUGUUUUAGCAAAAAAAAGUGUUAUUCAAAGUUCUCGAUUCAGAAUUAGGGCAUCUAAUGAUCGUGAGCAACAAUGGUGUUAGCUACCAUAUAUGUAUUUGGAAGCUAGCACAAAAGAUGAAUGGGAUUCGGUCAUGUUCUCUCUCAAGAGGAGUUGUAGCAGAAAGAUGAUUGCUAUAAAAUUGCUUGAUUGGUCAUUAGAUAUAAAGGUGAAGACCAUAUGGGCAGUUCUUCCAUCUUGCAAAUAGAUCAUCUCUUGUCUAGGCAACAUUUUUGAAACGAUAUCUUCAUUUUCAUGUCUUCCAACUACUUUAUGCCCUAUUUGAUUUCAUGUUU